rnacentral:rRNA from 1 species
AGUGAACGCUGGCGGUAGGCCUAACACAUGCAAGUCGAACGGCAGCACAGUAAGAGCUUGCUCUUACGGGUGGCGAGUGGCGGACGGGUGAGGAAUACAUCGGAAUCUACUUUUUCGUGGGGGAUAACGUAGGGAAACUUACGCUAAUACCGCAUACGACCUACGGGUGAAAGCAGGGGAUCUUCGGACCUUGCGCGAUUGAAUGAGCCGGUGUCGGAUUAGCUAGUUGGCGGGGUAAAGGCCCACCAAGGCGACGAUCCGUAGCUGGUCUGAGAGGAUGAUACGCCAAACUGGAACUGAGACAAGGUCCAGAAUCCUACGGGAGGCAGCAGUUGGGAAUAUUGGGCAAAGGGCGGAAGCCUGAACCAGCCAUACCGCGUGGGUGAAGAAGGGCUUCGGGUUGUAAAGCCCUUUUGUUGGGAAAGAAAAGCAGCAGGUUAAUACCCCGCUGUUCUGACGGUACCCAAAGAAUAAGCACCGGCUAACUUCGUG